rnacentral:lncRNA from 1 species
GUGUUAUUGGUCACAUGGUUAGCAGAUGUUAUUGGUCACAUGGUUAGCAGAUGUUAUUGGUCACAUGGUUAGCAGAUGUUAUUGGUCACAUGGUUAGCAGAUGUUAUUGGUCACAUGGUUAGCAGAUGUUAUUGGUCACAUGGUUAGCAGAUGUUAUUGGUCACAUGGUUAGCAGAUGUUAUUGGUCACAUGGUUAGCAGGUGUUAUUGGUCACAUGGUUAGCAGAUGUUAUUGGUCACAUGGUUAGCAGAUGUUAUUGGUCACAUGGUUAGCAGAUGUUAUUGGUCACAUGGUUAGCAGGUGUUAUUGGUCACAUGGUUAGCAGAUGUUAUUGGUCACAUGGUUAGCAGAUGUUAUUGGUCACAUGGUUAGCAGAUGUUAUUGGUCACAUGGUUAGCUGAUGUUAUUGGUCACAUGGUUAGCAGAUGUUAUUGGUCACAUGGUUAGCAGAUGUUAUUGGUCACAUGGUUAGCAGAUGUUAUUGGUCACAUGGUUAGCAGAUGUUAUUGUCUAGUCUAGCGAAAUGCUUGUGCUUCUAGUUCUAGUAAAAAUUCCCUGUCUUAGGUCAUUUGGAU